rnacentral:rRNA from 1 species
CACCAAAAGAGUUAAACACAGGGACACAUAUGAAGUCUCGGAGCCGGGUGUUGGUUCCGGUAGCGAUCGAGGGAAGUUAGUACCGAAGUCCGGGAUGGAAGAUGGCGAGAAAAGCUGUGUGGAUUUCUGCGGUGCCCGUACCGCAAACCGACACAGGUAGGUAGGAAGAAGAUUCUAAGGCCAACGGGAGAAGGGUUGUUAAGGAACUCGGCAAAUUGACCCCGUAACUUCGGGAGAAGGGGUGCUGCAGCAAUGCAGCCGCAGAGAAUCGGCCCAAGCAACUGUUUACCAAAAACACAGGUUUGUGCUAAAUCGAAAGAAGACGUAUACGAGCUGACGCCUGCCCGGUGCUGGAAGGUUAAGAGGAGAUGUGCAAGCAUUGAAUCGAAGCCCCAGUGAACGGCGGCCGUAACAAUAACGGUCCUAAGGUAGCGAAAUUCCUUGUCAGGUAAGUUCUGACCCGCAUGAAAGGCGUAAUGAUUUGGGCACUGUCUCAACAGCCCGCCCGGCGAAACUGUAGUACCGGUGAAGAUGCCGGUUACCCGCGACAAGACGGAAAGACCCCAUGGAGCUUUACUGUAUCCUAAUAUUGGGUUUCGAUGUUGCAUGCACAGGACAGAUGGGACACAGGGAAGCAGGUGCUUUGGCGCUUGUGGAGUGGCCGUUGGGAUACCAUCCUUGCGAUAUUGGAAUUCUAACCUGCGCCUUUGAAUCAAGGCGGGGGACAUUGUUAGGUGGGCAGUUUGACUGGGGCGGUCGCCUCCUAAAGAGUAACGGAGGCGUUCAAAGGUUCGCUCAGCUUGAACGGAAAUCAAGCAAAAGAGUGCAAACGCAGAAGCGAGCCUAACUGCGAGACUGACGGGUCGAGCAGUAACGAAAGUUGGAGUUAGUGAUCCGGUGGUAUGUGAGUGGAAAUGCCAUCGCUCAACGGAUAAAAGUUACCCUGGGGAUAACAGGCUGAUCUCCCCCAAGAGUCCACAUCGACGGGGAGGUUUGGCACCUCGAUGUCGGCUCAUCGCAUCCUGGGGCUGUAUUCGGUCCCAAGGGUUUGGCUGUUCGCCAAUUAAAGCGGUACGCGAGCUGGGUUCAGAACGUCGUGAGACAGUUCGGUCCCUAUCUGUCGUGGGCGCAGGAUAUUUGAUGGGAGCUGUUCCUAGUACGAGAGGACCGGAGCGGACGUACCUCUGGCGCACCAGUUGUUCUGCCAAGAGCAUAGCUGGGCAACUAUGUACGGAUCGGAUAAACGCUGAAAGCAUCUAAGCGUGAAGCCGACCCAAAGAUAAGAUAUCCCAUUGUUUUAAACAAGUAAGACCCCUUGAAGACUACAAGGUUGAUAGGCACGAUGUGUAAGUGGAGCGAUCCAUUCAGCAAGCGUGUACUAAUAGGUCGAGGGCUUGAUC